UUACGACCAUAUCACGUUGAAACACCGUUUCUAAUUCAAACACGGAAGUUAAGCAACGUCGAGCUUGGUUAGUACUAGAUGGGUGACAGGUUGGGAAUACCAAGUGCUAUA